AACCCGACUCCAUGAAGCUGGAUUCGCUAGUAAUCGCGCAUCAGCCACGGCGCGGUGAAUACGUUCCCGGGCCUUGUACACACGCCCGUCAAGCCAUGGAAGCCGGGGGUGCCUGAAGUGCGCUGCCGCAAGGAGCGUCCUAGGGUAAAACCGGUGACUGGGGCUAAGUCGUAACAAGGUAUC
rnacentral:rRNA from 1 species